rnacentral:lncRNA from 1 species
AUGUCUUCCAUCCUGUCUCAUUUGCUAGACACGCUCGUUACUCAGGGAAUAUAGUACAUCCGUAGCUACAAGAGGUGUGAUGCAUUCCAACAAAGCCCGGGGGUUCGCUCACUGCCAAGGAGGAUCAAGCUUUCGACCCUUACAUAAGCCCCAGUGGUUUCUAAUACAGAAAAAGGUAACAUUGUAAUGAAUUAUGAGAUUAUCGAGGUACUUUGUUCUAAUAAUAUAGGUGAUUGAAUGGAUUAUGAGGUCGAUGAUAUGGAGGCUGAGGGGGGGAUGGGGUUAUAGCAAUAUGUAGUGUGCUUCUUGGUUAAUGGUUGUGGCUGGGUAGUCUUUGUAAGUAUAUUAUUAUUGAAAUUACCUGAGAGAAUUAAAUGGCUAAUAUAAUGGGGACUGAGAUAAAUUAUAACCUAUAGCUAUAAUUGAGAUGAGCUCUAAUCUCAGCACUGUUGGCCCGAGGUAAGAGGAUCAUGAGUUCAAGUCCACCUGGACUAACUACACAGUGAGACUCUGUACACUAACUUCAUCAUAUAUGAAUUAUGUCUCAAAGCUGGAUUUUUGUUUGUUUGGUUUUUAGUUAAGAGUCUUGUCCUGGGUUCCUGGGUGUUCCUAAACAACUUCUGAUCCUCCUAGCCUUGUGCUGCCUCACUAAGCUUAUUAUCUUUUUAACAACUAGAAAGGAAAGUAUGAAAUCAUUGCUAGUAAGCUCCUAAACCCCAGGACUUUUCUAGCUACGGUGGCUCAUGCCUUCAGUCCAGAGCCCCAGUGGCCGGAGCUUGAACACCGAUGUGAGUUCAAGGCCAGCCUGGGUUACAUAGUGAAUUCUGAGACAGCCAGGGCUACAUAGAGAGACCCUAUGCAAAAACAAAAACACAGAAAUAACAUAGUGUUCAGUGUGGUAGUUUAUUUCUGCAAAAUAGUUACAAAUCUGAGACCAGCCUGAGGUACAUGGGGCAAUCCUAUGUCAAAACCUAAAAUUAGAUAAGUUAAAAUAUUAAACCUUAGGAUACAAAUUUCAGUGAGAGGCAGUGAGCUUGAGGGUUGUUUAUCUGUGUGUGCGUGUGUUGAGGAGAGGAACAUAAAGAGAUCAAAAGAUAAAUUGAGAGUCUCCUUCCACCGUGUGGGACCCAGGGAUUGAAUUCAGGUCACAAUCUUGGCCACAAACACCUUUAUGUCUUACCAGUCCUAGAUAAGCAUUUUAAAUAUAUUUAUAUACUCAUAGGGUGGAAUCAAGAAGAUUGUAAGUUGGAGGCCAGUCUGGUUGCAUUAAAAAUAAAAGUAUCCUUAUGGUAUACAAAUUCACAGUCUUUGUAGCAUAAUAAACUAUGAAUUCAUAACCAUUUUUUUUGCUUGUUUUUCCUUGACCUGGGUGUUUGGUUUUUAAUUUUUUAUUUCAUAGCCUUUUUAUUUAAAAACUUACUAAUAAAUAAAAAUAUUGCAUACCAAAAUUAGCCAGACCCAAAGUAUUAAUGAACUUAUAUACAGUUAGAAUUGAUAUUUGUUUCAAACAGCAUUUCACUCUGUAGGUCUGGCUGUCCCAGAACUUGAUGUGUAGACCGGGCUGGUCUCAAACUUACAAAGAUCAACCUGUCUCUGCCUUCUGAGUGCUGGGAUUAAAAUGUACCACCAUGCUAUAUAGAUGCAUGUAACCAUCUUUUAAAUUUUAUUUUCUACAGUAUCGGGAAAAUUGCCUGGCAGCAAAAGCACUCUUUGUUGACUUCUGCCUACCAGCUUUGUGUCUCCAGACUCAGCUCUUGCCAUAUCUUGCUCUUCUGACCAUUCCAAUGCGAAAUAAAGGUAACAGGGUUUCCUUGUCUGCAGAGCACUCAGUACCUAUUAGUUACAUGUUUUAGUCUAUAGUCCUUCCUUCCAGGUUUUUGUCUGUGAAUUGUACUGUAAAGAGUAGUUUUGAUUCUCCUUUGUUUUAAUUUUUGGUUUACAUUGAUAAAGACUCUCGAGUCUUGCUUCUUCAGUUGUAACUCCUUACACUCAUUUAUUUUGAUUUCAAUUUGUUCAAAUUUGACUAGUCGAUACUGCUUUCAGCUGUGAUUUAUUUCUUUUUAUUAUUUUUUAUUAUGUAUAUGUUCACAUGGUGCAGAUGCAAGCAGAGGGCAGAAGGGUACUGGAGCAUUUAGCUGGAAUGACAGGUGUUUAUGAAUUGGCUGACGUGGUUGCUGGUGAGCCAAUUUGAGUCUAAUGCUAUAAACGUUCUUAACAGCUGAGCCAUCUCUGUGGCAACCCAGUGUCAUUUCUAAGCUUUGUCAUGAAAGAAACCAGAAUGCUUUGUUUGUGUGUAACAAGUUCACAGUAGAACUUUGCAUUUCUACCUAGCCCUGCAAAGUUUAUGCUAGCCUUCUUCCUUUCCAUAUCUGGACCUCCUUUUGUUGUGGUUGUUAUUGUUUGUGGGGGCUGGAGGUCAUACUUGCUGUUUUUCUUUUAAAGUGCUUAGAAUCAAAUUUAGGGCCUUCCAGCCAAACAUGGUGGUACAUACCUUUAAUUCCAGUACUUGGGAAACAGAGGUAGACCUCUAGGAGUUCUAAGCCAGCCUGGUCUACACAGUACAAGGUCUAGGACAGCCAAGGAGGGCUGUUAUACACAGAAUCUCUGUCUGUCUU